UACGGGAGGCAGCAGGGGGAAUAUUGCACAAUGGGCGCAAGCCUGAUGCAGCCAUGCCGCGUGUAUGAAGAAGGCCUUCGGGUUGUAAAGUACUUUCAGUCGUGAGGAAGGUGUUAAGGUUAAUAACCUUAGCAAUUGACGUUAGCGACAGAAGAAGCACCGGCUAACUCCGUGCCAGCAGCCGCGGUAAUACGGAGGGUGCGAGCGUUAAUCGGAAUUACUGGGCGUAAAGGGCACGCAGGCGGUUAAUUAAGUUGGAUGUGAAUCCCCGGGCUUAACCUGGGAAUGGCAUUCAAGACUGGUUAGCUAGAGUCUUGUAGAGGGGGUAGAAUUCCAUGUGUAGCGGUGAAAUGCGUAGAGAUGUGGAGGAAUACCGGUGGCGAAGGCGGCCCCUGGACAAAGACUGACGCUCAUGUGCGAAAGCGUGGGGAGCAAACAGGGAUUAGAUACC
rnacentral:rRNA from 1 species